rnacentral:rRNA from 1 species
UAGGGAAUCUUCGGCAAUGGACGAAAGUCUGACCGAGCAACGCCGCGUGAGUGAGGAAGGUUUUCGGAUCGUAAAACUCUGUUGUUAGAGAAGAACAAGGACGUUAGUAACUGAACGUCCCCUGACGGUAUCUAACCAGAAAGCCACGGCUAACUACGUGCCAGCAGCCGCGGUAAUACGUAGGUGGCAAGCGUUGUCCGGAUUUAUUGGGCGUAAAGCGAGCGCAGGCGGUUUCUUAAGUCUGAUGUGAAAGCCCCCGGCUCAACCGGGGAGGGUCAUUGGAAACUGGGAGACUUGAGUGCAGAAGAGGAGAGUGGAAUUCCAUGUGUAGCGGUGAAAUGCGUAGAUAUAUGGAGGAACACCAGUGGCGAAGGCGGCUCUCUAGUCUGUAACUGACGCUGAGGCUCGAAAGCGUGGGGAGCAAACAGG